rnacentral:rRNA from 1 species
GCCUACGGGGGGCAGCAGUAGGGAAUUUUCGUCAAUGGGCGCAAGCCUGAACGAGCAAUGCCGCGUGAACGAGGAAGGUCUUCGGAUCGUAAAGUUCUGUUGAAGGGGAAAAAGAGCGGAGAGAGGAAAUGAACUCCGGUUGAUAUUACCCUUCGAGGAAGUCACGGCUAACUACGUGCCAGCAGCCGCGGUAAUACGUAGGUGGCGAACGUUAUCCGGAAUGAUUGGGCGUAAAGGGUGCGUAGGCGGCCUGCUAAGUCUGGAGGGAAAGGUACCGGCUCAACCGGUACAGGCUCUGGAAACUG